rnacentral:misc_RNA from 1 species
UCUCCGUUGGUGAACCAGCGGAGGGAUCAUUACCGAGUUUACAACUCCCAAACCCUAUGUGAACCAUACCACACUGUUGCCUCGGCGGGGUCACGCCCCGGGUGCGUCGCAGCCCCGGACCCGGGCGCCCGCCGGAGGGACCAACCAAACUCCUUCUGUAGUCCCCUCGCGGACGUUAUUUUUACAGCUCUGGGCAAAAAUUCAAAAUGAGUCAAAACUUUCAACAACGGAUCUCUUGGUUCUG